CCCCGGUAAACGGCGGCCGUAACUAUAACGGUCCUAAGGUAGCGAAAUUCCUUGUCGGGUAAGUUCCGACCUGCACGAAUGGCGUAAUGAUGGCCACGCUGUCUCCACCCGAGACUCAGUGAAAUUGAAAUCGCUGUGAAGAUGCAGUGUACCCGCGGCUAGACGGAAAGACCCCGUGAACCUUUACUACAGCUUGGCACUGAACAUUGAACCUACAUGUGUAGGAUAGGUGGGAGGCUUUGAAGACGUGACGCCAGUUGCGUUGGAGCCGUCCUUGAAAUACCACCCUUGUAUGUUUGAUGUUCUAACGUUGGCCCCUAAUCGGGGUUGCGGACAGUGCCUGGUGGGUAGUUUGACUGGGGCGGUCUCCUCCCAAAGAGUAACGGAGGAGCACGAAGGUGGGCUAAUCACGGUUGGACAUCGUGAGGUUAGUGCAAUGGCAUAAGCCCGCUUAACUGCGAGAAUGACGGUUCGAGCAGGUGCGAAAGCAGGUCAUAGUGAUCCGGUGGUUCUGAAUGGAAGGGCCAUCGCUCAACGGAUAAAAGGUACUCCGGGGAUAACAGGCUGAUACCGCCCAAGAGUUCAUAUCGACGGCGGUGUUUGGCACCUCGAUGUCGGCUCAUCACAUCCUGGGGCUGAAGUCGGUCCCAAGGGUAUGGCUGUUCGCCAUUUAAAGUGGUACGCGAGCUGGGUUUAGAACGUCGUGAGACAGUUCGGUCCCUAUCUGCCGUGGGCGUUGGAAGAUUGAAGGGGGCUGCUCCUAGUACGAGAGGACCGGAGUGGACGAACCUCUGGUGUUCGGGUUGUGUCGCCAGACGCAUUGCCCGGUAGCUAAGUUCGGAAUCGAUAACCGCUGAAAGCAUCUAAGCGGGAAGCGAGCCCUGAGAUGAGUCUUCCCUGAUACUUUAAGUAUCCUAAAGGGUUGUUCGAGACU
rnacentral:rRNA from 1 species